rnacentral:rRNA from 1 species
UACGUAGGGCGCAAGCGUUUAUCCGGAAUUAUUGGGCGUAAAGAGCUCGUAGGCGGUCUGUUGCGUCGGCUGUGAAAACCCGGGGCUCAACUCCGGGCCUGCAGCCGAUACGGGCAGACUAGAGUUCGGCAGGGGAGACUGGAAUUCCUGGUGUAGCGGUGAAAUGCGCAGAUAUCAGGAGGAACACCGGUGGCGAAGGCGGGUCUCUGGGCCGAUACUGACGCUGAGGAGCGAAAGCGUGGGGAGCGAACAGG